rnacentral:rRNA from 1 species
AGAGAGAGACAUGCGCGCAUAUCAAUAAGCGGAGGAAAAGAAACUAACAAGGAUUCCCUUAGUAACGGCGAGUGAAGCGGGAAGAGCUCAAAUUUGAAAUCUUCAAGGUUUUACCUUGACGAAUUGUAGUUUAAAGAAGUGUUUUCUGCUGAAGUUUUGGUAAAAGUUCUUUGGAAUAGGACAUCAUAGAGGGUGAGAAUCCCGUAUUUGACCAUUAUUUUCAGCUUUGUGAUACACUUUCAAAGAGUCGGAUUGUUUGGGAAUGCAGUCCAAAAUGGGUGGUAAAUUUCAUCUAAAGCUAAAUAUUGGCGAGAGACCGAUAGCGAACAAGUACCGUGAGGGAAAGAUGAAAAGAACUUUGAAAAGAGAGUUAAACAGUACGUGAAAUUGUCAAAAGGGAAGCGUUUGACACCAGUGUUGUUUUCUCGAAAAUCAAUUAAAAAUGGCUCGAUUUUGUAUUGUUGGAGACCUUAAAAGCUCACUGUACAUUUUUCGUGUCUUUUUUAAUGCACUUUUCGUUUAACAAGUCAACAUCAGUUUCUUUUGUUGUAAAAGGGUCAUUGGAAGGUGGCUUUCUUUUCGGAGAAAGUGUUUAUAGCCUUUGGCCUCUGCAAUCGGAGAGACUGAGGUCUGCAGCGUAGACUCUUCGGGGUUAGAUACAUUUGUGCUAAGUUAUAGCUUUUUAUAGACAACUUGUUGACUAUAAUUAGUCUUGUAGCUUACUCGCUUAUGCUAUUUUACCUACGCUUAGGAUGUUGAAGAUGUAGCACAUCAU